rnacentral:lncRNA from 1 species
UUAUCGACUACCUUGUCAACAUUGGAAUCCACCUUAUUUCAUCAUCGUCAACACCAAAAAGCCAAACAAUGGCAGAUGGUGGAGUUUGAAAAGAAUAAUUGAGACUCUUUGAAUGGCGAUUGAAGUUCAACUGAUACUCAGACCAUGUUGCUUGAAAGAUCCCAAUAAUGAGGUUUUUUAAUACCGGAAACUGUAGAGGGUUCUUUGUUUCCGGCGACUGGGUUUGAAGAGGGGUUAUCGCAUACAUGGUCAGCCUAGGGUUAGGAUGAAGAUGCAGUGGCACAGGAGACCACUCCAGUCGAUGAUGAGGUAUUUGAAACGUUGAAAUUACAAAUGAGGGAUUGAUGAGUGAAGAAGGGAAUAAGAGGCUUAAUGUAUUGGCCCUAACAAGCUAGAAGAGAACAAGAUGGACUGUACAAAUGAUUCACACCCGAAUUUUAUUGGUGGCAGUAGGGAUGUAGAGUUGCCUAUGCAGCAAGUCAAGUCUUCUUUUUUUUUUGGGUAAAGUGCAGCAAGUCAAGUCUUCUAGGAUUGCUUCGGCAGUUUCAAGGCAAAAGGAUGCUGCUGCUGAGUUGGAUAAAGCACCACAAUGUAUCAAAUGAUGCACAUUUCUUAAAUUAACAAGUGUAGUGUGCAGAUUUAGUUUGUUGUGAUGGGCUUCUUUGGAAAUUCAUGGUGAGCAGUUACCGCCAAACAUCCAGAAAGAAAGGAUAUGCAUAAGUUGCUCUGAAUCAGGUUGUCUCAUUUGUUGUUCCACACUCCCAUAGCCAUCUUCUUGUCCUCACAAACAGAUUUCGUAUUGGAUGCUCUAAAUGAUUCAAAGACUGGUGUUGUAGGGUUUCUAUUCAGUUAGCAGGCCCUGAUCGUUACACGACGUUUAUACAAUUGUCGUUCAGCUAAACAUUAUUAAUCAAUGAAUUGUUUAACGUUACCGGAAAUCUGCUAUAGACGCACAUGAAUCGGACAAACCUCAAGUUCAAGAAACGAUUGAAUGUGCUAGGGGUUGAAAUCUUUUCAUGUUACAAGGAGAUUGUUUAAAUAUGACACAUUACAAGGUGUUCAGAAAGAACGAGUCUUGAGGUUAAUGAACUAGAAAGAACAAAGAAUGACAACAUGAACUACAAUACUCAUAGGACGGUUCUGAUGGAAAAAAAAAAGUGACAGUAUGAAGAAUUCCAAUGCUGCUAAGAUGGUACCUCAGAUUUAGCUUCCUUAUUUUAGAGGUGGUCUUAUGUUAACAAAUGAGUCAAAACCAGACAUUUUAGAUGUGGUCAUUAUUUUAAGAAAUGAGUCAAAUGAAGUAAUAUUAUAUCUUCUAACCAGACAGAUGGAAAAUUUCUAAACAGACAAGGUCAAAAGGGCCGAAACCUCAUUUGUAUGCAUAUCCAUGUCCUUUUAUCUAGAUGAUCAUUUAUAUAGUAAAAUGGCACAAGUUGU